UGCAGACUCAGUGGAAAAUCCUGUUUUGGGAACGUUUCCAGGAUGUAAAACAUUGUCUAGAAUUCUUUACAUUUAUGGGUAGAAAGUAAAAAAUAAGUCUAGUAAGAGUGGAAAUGGCAUUCUUUCAUAGCUAGAAAGUCGCAGUAAAAUCAAUAAAAGUCAGCAUUGCAAACUCAUUUUUUAAACUGGUUGUGUUUUGUUGCUGGUUUUUUUUUGUUUGGUUUGGUUUGGGUUUUUUUACAGUGGCCAAGGUUUUUAUUUUGGUCUCAAAAAGACAGCAAGUAGGAAACUACUAAUUAUCAAGGAAAUAUCAAGAUUUGCGUAUGAAAAAUAUGGAUCAUGCAAGCAGAGAUUCACAUCUCCCUUUGGGUACCUCAAAAGCAAUCCCCUUGGACAUGGUUAUAUAUAUUUCACUGUAAGUGAAAGAGAACAAAACAAAUAAAAACACAAUGAGGCUCUUUCUCUAUGCUGGUACUUUCUUCAAACUUUCUGCUGAGGAUUUCCAACAGCAUUUGUCGUCACAUGGGGAUGUGGGUGCAUAAGAUAGAAAAGUUCUUUGGCAGAAUGAAAGCAAGGGGAGAUUGGUAUGUGGAAAUAAAGAAAUAUUCAGCCCAUAGGAACUGCCUCUCCUGAAGGUUUGGAAAACAGAGAGUGCCUGUUUAUUCUUUGUGUAUUAUGCCAUGGAAAUGUGUUCUCCAGUCAGGUCCAAGCAUGUGCCAUAUAUUACCUCUGAGCAGGGUAACACACUGAUGGCCUGUAGCAGCAAAAAGCUGGAGAUAAAUAUGGUCCAAAAAUUCGCAUUGGUCCCAAUCCCAUGGGAUAAGAUGGGUCACGAGUCUGUGGCAGGAAAAUCAAGAUGGUCUGUGCAGAUUUCAGUGGAAAAUUGCCCAUCUUCCCUCUCCCUCAAACCAAACAAAAUUAUUUUAAAGAAGGAGGGAAGGGAGGAAAGAGAGAGGAAAACAGACAGUAGAGCUUCACAUAUGGCAUUUAGAUGGUGCAAAACAUGAGCAGCAAGGUUCAUGUGUGGGACAUGAGUGUAUCAACAUGUAAGACUGGGAAGGGCUGGUUUUUUUCUCUCUUAUUAGUUUUAACUUCAACUUGUAAUUUGUCUGUUGAAAUAUUGGUUAUAAAUGAGUGGGGAAAAAGUGUAUUUGUUAUGAGUGAAGAAAGAGUGCCUGAGUAGCACUUUUUCAUGCCCAGUAAGGGAAGUGGAGGGGGGAAAUCAAAAAUGUCCUGCUUGCCUUUUAACAAAAAUAUUUAUUUCUGUCUUAUUGUCCCAUUGCUGAUUACCUGUAGCAGCACUAUCCAUGGCUGGAUCUAGUGUGCUGAAGUCAGCAGAAGGUCCUGUUUUCUCCUCCAAGGGCUUAAUGCUCAUUGCUCCUGAUUCCCAUCUACCUCCCCCAUAGCACAUCCCAGCCUCAGACCCUGUUCCCUGAAAACCACUUACUUCUCACUGACACCCACAGUGUUCAGGGCCACCUGAGGCACAGUAAGAGUGCAUUUUUAUAAAAAUUGGAUAUGACUUGGACAAAGUACGCAGAUUUCAGCCUUCACUUCAAUAGAAAUUUUGCCUGAAAGACAGCCUUCCUGCAAACUAGACUUGUUUGGUGUUGUUUCACCUUGAUGUUCUGUUGAUGAGUAUUCUUGGUUGCUUCUUGUUGUUGUUGCUGUAAAGAUCAUAAUUUAUUUUUUCCCUCACAGUCUGGCUAUCUCCUCUUUUUGCAACUGUAUAUGAUGCUUACCUGAACAACUCCAUCUGCAAAUAACAGAUUUCUGUCAGAUCAAUAUUUUUUUUAAUCCCUUGGACAUAAAUAUCUUGUACUCUUGUGGUCUGUUUGUGGGCAGUGUUUGGGCAGUCCAAAGCAAAAAUGUGGGGAGCUGGACCAUGGUCUGAAAUUUCUUUAUGCUAUGUAGUGUAAGUGAAAUAAAAACCCCACCCAACAACCAAGAGAGAAUUUUCAAGAUGAGAAAAAGAAGAAUUCCUCCUACCUUCCUCCCAAAUAAAGUGUUCCAUCAUCUUUUUCAAUUAGUCUUGGUUUUCUUUUUGAAACCACACAA